GGAGUAUUUGAGGAUGUGUGCCAAGCAUCUUGACCUUGUGAAGUACAUCUGUUUCCAGACAAAGUACAGUGUGAGGAAUCCUCCUGAUUUCCUUCCACUGGCCAAUGGGACGUUGUGGCGGAAGCUCAGGGCGAGCAAAGGCCAUCUGCCUUUGACGCAGGCGUGGUCUGCAGUGGUCGUCACAGUGACCUCAUUUACCACUUCAGUUUUUCCCAGGGAUUGAGAAGUUCAAAGGUCAGUAUUUUCACAGCAAGGAAUAGAAGAGUCCGGAGGGAUUUAUGGGAAGGAGAAUCCUCGUGAUUGGCUUUGGGAAUUCUGGCGCAGACCUGGCUGUGGAGCUCAGCCACGCCGCAAAGCAGAGAAUUUAGCAAGGCCUGAAAAAGAGAAGUGGGAGAAAACCAGUUACAACAAUUUUACAAAUGUGAAAGACUUCCCUGUCCAUGUACUUGCUUUCCGAGCUCUGCACACAGCACAACAAUAGCCAGAACCAGCAGCCAGAACCAGCAGCGCACCAGUGCUGACAGAACAGGUUGGCCACCACCAAGGACAUGAAGGCUGACAUUGUCUGGAAAAGAGAGGCUGUGGGGAAAAGAUAGGGCCCUCCACCAGCAGGCAAUUACUGCAAACAGGAUUUGUGGGUUUAGCCGGGUGGGGUCAAAGGAGAGCGAAAUCUCUGAGUUAGAUUUUCGACGUCAUUUCUAACAUCAAGGUGGCAGCUCCAAGGAAUGUUCAAAGAAAAGAUUGAAAGCUUCUUGUUGAAGACACUUACUCUGUCCUUGGUUUUAGUAUCAGGUAUAAUUUGAUUAUUCUAUAGGCCAAGAGAAAUUAUUUCAUAAUGUAGAAAUGAUAGAAACAAAGGAGAAAUUCACUUAUGAAACAAAUAUCUGAGUGCUUAUCAUAUGCCAGGAACUGUGGUAGUCAGAUGGGAUAAAGGUAUCAGGAACAUAAUUCCCACGCACAAGGGACUCCCAACUGAUGGUAAUUAAAUGCUUCUUAACUGAAAGAAUGAAUCUUUUUUUUUA